rnacentral:rRNA from 1 species
CCCGGUAGGUGACGUGCGGAGGUCAUUA